CCUGCAUAGAUUAUACUAACAUGGGCAUCAUUAUUUUACUUUUAGUGCUGGUUUCCCCUUUAAGUGUCCUGUCUCAGACAUUACAGGAGUCAGGUCCAGGAACUGUGAAACCAUCAGAACAACUGAAACUGACCUGCACAGUGUCUGGAUUUGAGUUAUCCAGCUAUGCAGUUAGCUGGGUGAGACAACUCCCAGGGAAGGGACUGGAAUGGAUUGGGGUAAUAUGGACUAGUGGAGGUACAGAAAUUAAUGCUUCAUUCAAGAGCAGACUCACAAUCACUAAAGAUAAUGCAAAAAAACAAGUUUACUUCCAAAUGAACAAUAUGAGAGUAGAUGAAACUGGCAAAUAUUACUGUGCGAGACACACAGUGACAACAAUGAAUGAGCAACUCAGACAAUAUCCUGCAGCUCUAUACAGAGCUUGGAAAUGA